CGCGUCAGGGUCGACAGACAGGAUUCCUCACCAGAGGGAGAAUUGCGAUGUUUUUCGAUUCUCUUGAAAAAACUAAAAAAGACAUGGCCUUUAAAUUGUUCUUAUUUUUCAACGCGUUAAUUGUUAUGGGACAUCUAAAAUUACUUGAUUUCUUUUAUAGACAAAGUAGACUCUGAAUGAACCUGUGCCACCAUCCUCCACAUGAAUGAGUUCAUUUGCUGCACAACCAACCAACCAACCACACACAGCAAACACCACAAUAAUUUGCAACCUUUGGGACAAAAUAACCCAGAAGUUCUAAACCCUUAAUUGACCCGGCACUACCCCAUUUUUUUAAAUAACUACAAUAUUUAGGAAAAUUGUUCAAAGACAUCAAUUCGUUGGCAAACAAACCAUGAACUUUACUGAUACCUAUGCCCUAUUUAAUUUAGAAUUGCUCCCAAGUCUUCCACCAUAGCGAUCCGAUGCUCUACCAUUGAGCUACGAAUGACACCUGUAACACUUCUACUUCUUCGACACAUUAACAUAACUGCACGAGUUAAAUAGUCCCUCAGACGACAAUGGAAGGAUAUAGGAAGGCAAUGCUAGAAUGGUAUGGCAACCGACGCCUAAUUCGGUGGUUAGAUUCACAGUUAUGUUCCACAGGAUCUUCCAAACAUCCUAGGAAGUAUACCAUUCAAGUGCACCAACAAUGUUGAGAAACAUACCAACAAUGACAAUACCAACUUUUGCCAAGUGAGUAAGUUGUGGGAUGAACAUGUUUUAAGAAUGGGUAAUAUAAGAGACAAACAUUUCUUUAAACAAAUGGACUUUUUGUCGAUUACAUUGCGCACUGCAUUUUACUUUA